AAACCCUGGUCGCACCGCCAGGGGUGAGCUGGCGGCGGGGGAGGCGGGCAGCGGAGCCAAGCUGACCCGGCGAGCGGAGCCGGGGCUGGAGAGCGGCGACCACUGCGGAUCUCGGAAGGAAGAAAUGAUGUAAAUCACUCAUCCAAACCUUAAGGUCAAAGGUGAGAAGGAAGGUCAGGAAGAACAUGGCCUGGCCAAAUGUUUUUCAAAGAGGGUCUCUGCUGUCCCAGUUCAGCCAUCAUCAUGUUGUAGUGUUCCUGCUCACUUUCUUCAGUUAUUCGUUGCUCCAUGCUUCACGAAAAACAUUUAGCAAUGUCAAAGUCAGUAUCUCUGAGCAGUGGACCCCAAGUGCUUUUAACACGUCAGUUGAGCUGCCUGUGGAGAUCUGGAGCAGCAACCAUUUGUUCCCCAGUGCAGAGAAAGCGACUCUUUUCCUCGGCACACUGGAUACCAUUUUCCUCUUCUCCUAUGCUGUGGGCCUAUUCAUCAGUGGCAUCGUUGGGGAUCGGUUGAAUUUGCGAUGGGUUCUGUCUUUUGGCAUGUGCUCUUCUGCAUUAGUGGUGUUUGUCUUUGGUGCGCUCACAGAAUGGCUGCGUUUCUACAACAAAUGGCUGUACUGCUGCCUGUGGAUUGUGAACGGCCUGCUGCAGUCCACUGGUUGGCCCUGUGUGGUUGCUGUUAUGGGCAACUGGUUUGGGAAAGCCGGACGAGGAGUUGUUUUUGGUCUCUGGAGUGCCUGUGCUUCGGUGGGCAACAUUUUGGGAGCGUGCCUAGCUUCUUCUGUUCUUCAGUAUGGUUAUGAGUAUGCCUUUCUGGUGACGGCGUCUGUGCAGUUUGCUGGUGGGAUCGUUAUCUUCUUUGGACUCCUGGUGUCACCAGAAGAAAUUGGAAAACUCUGAGCUCCUUUUAGUGAGUGAAAGGAGAACAGUACUGCCGUUUGAGUCCUGUCGACAUUGUAGCCAGCCCCUGGCACAGCUGGACGUGUUUGAGGGGAGUGAUGCACGUCUUUUAUAGAUACAGGAAAAUCUUCGCAUUUGCAAAUUAUUUUUAUAAUUGAGACACUGGCAAGGAAUGAACAUAGAUGUAUUUCUGAUUUCACUUCUUGAAACAUUUCUUUUCAUCCAUAAAAAUGAUGCACAAAAAAGAUACUUAACCUGUAGUUAAAUACAGAUUACAUACAAAUGAAACCACAGAAGCAAACAGAUGUACAAUUCUUCUAUCUUUUGAGUAUUUUUAGAUAGACUGUGUGACUUUAAUUGACCUUAGUUGACCUCGGUCUCUGGACCUUCGUUGCUGCUUCUGUAAAAUGGAAAUAAAAAUAACAUCACCUCAUAAGUAGGGAUGUAUGCAGAGCCCUUCACACGUGGUAGGCACUCCAUAAACAGUGGCUGUCGCUGUUAUUUUAGGUCUCUCGGGUAUUGAGGCAGAAGAAAACUUUGAAGAAGACUCACACAGGCCAUUAAUUAAUGGUGGUGAAAAUGAAGACGAAUAUGAGCCGAAUUAUUCAAUCCAAGAUGAUAGUUCUGUUGCCCAAGUCAAGGCGAUAAGCUUCUACCAGGCAUGUUGCCUUCCUGGAGUCAUACCGUACUCACUGGCCUACGCCUGCUUGAAGUUAGUGAAUUACUCCUUCUUCUUCUGGCUCCCCUUUUAUCUGAGUAACAACUUCGGCUGGAAGGAGGCGGAAGCCGACAAGCUGUCCAUUUGGUACGACGUUGGAGGGAUCAUAGGUGGAACUUUGCAAGGCUUCAUCUCUGAUGUACUACAGAAGAGAGCGCCGGUUCUUGCCCUGAGUCUGCUUCUGGCAGUUGGGUCCCUCAUCGGGUAUAGUCGUUCUCCAAAUGAUAAGUCCAUCAAUGCCCUUCUGAUGACUGUUACAGGAUUUUUUAUUGGUGGACCUUCUAAUAUGAUUAGUUCUGCUAUUUCUGCGGACUUGGGUCGCCAGGAGCUCAUCCAAAGGAGCAGUGAAGCUUUGGCCACUGUCACAGGAAUUGUGGAUGGUUCGGGGAGCAUUGGAGCUGCAGUGGGCCAGUAUUUAGUGUCUCUGAUCCGGGACAAGCUAGGAUGGAUGUGGGUUUUCUACUUUUUCAUUCUCAUGACAAGUUGUACAAUUGUGUUUAUCUCGCCAUUAAUAGUGAGGGAAAUAUUCUCUCUCGUGCUAAGGAGACAGGCUCACAUAUUGAGGGAGUGACCGGUGCCCGCGAGACAGAAAGAACAAUGUCAGCCACAUCAGGACCGCUGGGGCUUCGAGUCUGCCCUAAUUUGGGUUUGUCUAGGAGCUCCAGCCUGAUCUUGGAUUGUCAGGCGUCUCUCAACACUGCCAGCCACCUGAGAUGCUGACCAGCAGUGAAGGCUGCACUAGUUUUCUACACUACAGGAAUUACUGUUGAUGAUUUUUGCUGUUGUUUCAUGAAUGUGCCGAGUGACUUCUGACUCUGCCAGCAUCUUUGACCUCUGACUCUGCCCGCGUCUUUGUUUGGCCUAUUGAGGUUUAGCGUUUUAACCUUAACUGUUGUUUUGGACUUGAACUUUCUCUAGCCUUGAAAAUGGAGUGAACAGGAGGCAAAGCCACGCGUGGUUUGUGUUGGUGGUAUGUUCCACAAAUGGAAGAGAUCAUUGCAUUUUGCUUUGGUAAUGAGUUUACAGAGAGUGGGUCAUCUUUGAAGCAUCAAAUCCUGAUCAAAUGCUCAAGCUGGACCGAGCUGCAAGCCUGCCUUGGACAAAGAAUCCCUCUGUUCACUGUGGUGGGAAAGAUCACACUACAUGCCUGUUGAUUGGCUCAGUCACUCUGUGUCUGAUCUAAACGUCAUUCAGCCCUAGAAGCAUGAAUUGCUUCAAAUUAUUGUCAACUUGUUCUCUUCCAUUUUCAUUCAAAUUAACUUUGACUCCUGGAAGUAUUGAGUCUUCCUUUCAAGGACCAUAAGGUACAUCAGUUAUCUUGAACAUUCUGACGUGUAAAGGACCAUAAGGUACAUCAUUUAUCUUGAACAUUCCGACGUGUAACUCACAGCCGAAGCACUCCAUCCCAGAUUUGUUGUCUGGGAACUUAGGAUCCUCUAGGAAGCUAAUCUGCUUAGUCUAUUUUUAGAGGAUUGAUCUCUGGCACAAGCAGCUUCCUGGAGUUACCUCAGCAGAAGACUAGAAUUAGAGAAAAGGGAAAGACCUUUUCUUCUAGUAAGUGUCAAGUACAGAUGCUCUUUGACUUAUGAUGGGGUUAUGUCCCAGUAAACCCAUUGGAAGUCAAAUGCAUUUAAUACCCCUGACUGGACACCACAGCUUAGCCUCGUCCACCCUAAAUGUACUCAGAACACUUAGAAUUGCCCACAGUUGGGCAGAAUCAUCUAACACAAACUCUAUUUUAUAAUCGAGUGUUGAAUAUAUCAUGUAAUUUAUUGAAUAUUGUACAUUAUGUUGAAAUUGCAACCAUUUCACACCAUUGUAAAGUCCAAAAAUCAGAAGCUGAGGACUGUCUGUACAUGACAUUGAAUCACAUGAAUGGAUUACUAGGGCCUGAGGGGUGUCCGUUCUUUAGAAAAAUGUAGAGUAUAUAUAUCUUCAGGGCUGUGAAUUCCAUACUAGUUAUCAAUAUUUUAAGAUCAUUCUGUAUAUACAUAUUUUAAAUUAUGCAAGCAAACUAGGAGGAGAAUGUGCAAUUUUGAGGGAUACCUAAUUUGCAUUCGGUUAGGGGAUAUUUUUCAACCUCUUGCUUUAUACUCUGAUAUGGGGUGUGUUUAUGAACUUGUUAAUGUUAUUUAAUCAUGCAGAUUUCCAAUCAGUGUAUUGCUCAUUUACUGACAAAAAGGGAAAAUACGAAACACAGAAAGGGAAAAUAAACUGACUUUUAUAAUGAA